AGGCUCCGCUCUGGCUGGCUUCCUGGAAAGGGAGGAGGGGGCAGGCGGGAGAACCGC
ensembl:miRNA